rnacentral:rRNA from 1 species
GAUGAACGCUAGCGGCAGGCCUAACACAUGCAAGUCGAACGGGAUUUGGGUAGCAAUACCUGAUGAGAGCGGCGCACGGGUGCGUAACACGUAUGCAACCUACCUCUUACAGGGGGAUAGCCCGGAGAAAUUCGGAUUAAUACCCCAUAGUAUUAAUGAAUGGCAUCAUUUAUUAAUUAAAGAACGGCGGUAAGAGAUGGGCAUGCGCUCUACUAGCUAGUUGGUAAGGUAACGGCUUACCAAGGCUACGAUAGAUAGGGGUUCUGAGAGGAGAGGCCCCCAAACUGGAACUGAGACACGGACCAGACUCCUACGGGGGGCAGCAGUGAGGGAUAUUGGUCAAUGUCCGCAAGGGUGAACCAGCCAUGCCGCGUGCAGGAAUAAGGCCCUAUGGGUUGUAAACUGCUUUUGUAUGGGGCGAAACCCUGGGAUUCAUCCCAGGCUGACGGUACCAUAAGAAUAAGCACCGGCUAACUACGUGCCAGCAGCCGCCGUAACAC